rnacentral:rRNA from 1 species
UACAGAGGGGGCAAGCGUUGUUCGGAAUUACUGGGCGUAAAGGGCGCGUAGGCGGCCCGCUAAGUCGAACGUGAAAUCCCCGAGCUCAACUCGGGAACUGCGUCCGAUACUGGCGGGCUUGAAUCCGGGAGAGGGAUGCGGAAUUCCAGGUGUAGCGGUGAAAUGCGUAGAUAUCUGGAGGAACACCGGUGGCGAAGGCGGCAUCCUGGACCAACACUGACACUGAUGAGCGAAAGCCAGGGGAGCAAACGGG